rnacentral:rRNA from 1 species
ACGAACGCUGGCGGCGUGCCUAAUACAUGCAAGUCGAACGCUUCUUUUUCCAUCGGAGCUUGCUCCACCGGAAAAAGAGGAGUGGCGAACGGGUGAGUAACACGUGGGUAACCUGCCCAUCAGAAGGGGAUAACACUUGGAAACAGGUGCUAAUACCGUAUAACAAUCGAAACCGCAUGGUUUUGAUUUGAAAGGCGCUUUCGGGUGUCGCUGAUGGAUGGACCCGCGGUGCAUUAGCUAGUUGGUGAGGUAACGGCUCACCAAGGCGACGAUGCAUAGCCGACCUGAGAGGGUGAUCGGCCACAUUGGGACUGAGACACGGCCCAAACUCCUACGGGAGGCAGCAGUAGGGAAUCUUCGGCAAUGGACGAAAGUCUGACCGAGCAACGCCGCGUGAGUGAAGAAGGUUUUCGGAUCGUAAAACUCUGUUGUUAGAGAAGAACAAGGAUGAGAGUAACUGUUCAUCCCUUGACGGUAUCUAACCAGAAAGCCACGGCUAACUACGUGCCAGCAGCCGCGGUAAUACGUAGGUGGCAAGCGUUGUCCGGAUUUAUUGGGCGUAAAGCGAGCGCAGGCGGUUUCUUAAGUCUGAUGUGAAAGCCCCCGGCUCAACCGGGGAGGGUCAUUGGAAACUGGGAGACUUGAGUGCAGAAGAGGAGAGGGGAAUUCCAUGUGUAGCGGUGAAAUGCGUAGAUAUAUGGAGGAACACCAGUGGCGAAGGCGGCUCUCUGGUCUGUAACUGACGCUGAGGCUCGAAAGCGUGGGGAGCAAACAGGAUUAGAUACCCUGGUAGUCCACGCCGUAAACGAUGAGUGCUAAGUGUUGGAGGGUUUCCGCCCUUCAGUGCUGCAGCUAACGCAUUAAGCACUCCGCCUGGGGAGUACGACCGCAAGGUUGAAACUCAAAGGAAUUGACGGGGGCCCGCACAAGCGGUGGAGCAUGUGGUUUAAUUCGAAGCAACGCGAAGAACCUUACCAGGUCUUGACAUCCUUUGACCACUCUAGAGAUAGAGCUUCCCCUUCGGGGGCAAAGUGACAGGUGGUGCAUGGUUGUCGUCAGCUCGUGUCGUGAGAUGUUGGGUUAAGUCCCGCAACGAGCGCAACCCUUAUUGUUAGUUGCCAUCAUUUAGUUGGGCACUCUAGCAAGACUGCCGGUGACAAACCGGAGGAAGGUGGGGAUGACGUCAAAUCAUCAUGCCCCUUAUGACCUGGGCUACACACGUGCUACAAUGGGAAGUACAACGAGUCGCAAAGUCGCGAGGCUAAGCUAAUCUCUUAAAGCUUCUCUCAGUUCGGAUUGUAGGCUGCAACUCGCCUACAUGAAGCCGGAAUCGCUAGUAAUCGCGGAUCAGCACGCCGCGGUGAAUACGUUCCCGGGCCUUGUACACACCGCCCGUCACACCACGAGAGUUUGUAACACCCGAAGUCGGUGAGGUAACCUUUUGGAGCCAGCCGCCUAAGGUGGGAUAGAUGAUUGGGGUG